CCUGGUUACUCAGAGAGUAAAGAGUCUGCCUGCAAUGCAGGAGACCUGGGUUCAAUCCCAGGGUCAGGA
rnacentral:tRNA from 1 species